UUGAACGCUGGCGGCGUGCUUAACACAUGCAAGUCGAACGGAGCGCUCGUGAUGGAGUUUUCGGACAACGGAUCGGGCUGCUUAGUGGCGGACGGGUGAGUAACGCGUGAGCAAUCUGCCUUGGAGUGGGGAAUAACACAGGGAAACUUGUGCUAAUACCGCAUGAUGCAGCUGCACCGCAUGGUGGUGGUUGCCAAAGAUUUAUCGCUCUGAGAUGAGCUCGCGUCUGAUUAGCUAGUUGGCGGGGUAACGGCCCACCAAGGCGACGAUCAGUAGCCGGACUGAGAGGUUGGCCGGCCACAUUGGGACUGAGACACGGCCCAGACUCCUACGGGAGGCAGCAGUGGGGAAUAUUGGGCAAUGGGCGCAAGCCUGACCCAGCAACGCCGCGUGAAGGAAGAAGGCCCUCGGGUUGUAAACUUCUUUUAACAGGGACGAAGGAAGUGACGGUACCUGUUGAAUAAGCCACGGCUAACUACGUGCC
rnacentral:rRNA from 1 species